AGUCCUUCGCCGUCCCUCGCCGUCCUUCGCCAUCGCACGCCACCGCACCCCAUCUCUCGAAAUCUGCAGACAUCUUGAUUUUUCCCACGCUGUCUGUCAGGUCUCCGCCGCCACUCGACGCCAGGGCGCCGGGUGAGUCCACAGCAGGGCGCAUGGUCGGCUCCACUCUCACCAUCGGGGGAAACUGAGGCCCCGGGGAAGGCGGCCAGAGAGGUCAGGCCCUGUCCUUGGUGCAGUGUCUCGUCCUCUUUGCCGGAGUGAGCCCCCCAGGAUUCGCGUGUCCUCGGGAAAGACACUGGCAGGCCUUGUGGGCUGUGCUGCACCUCGGACGGCUUCGCACCAGCCAGCGCCCUCUCUCUCCUGCAGCACUCUGAUCUGCACCCCCUGAGGGGCUUCCACUGUCCGCGGGGUGAGAAUGCCCCUGGGAGUGUCACAUGACUGCCGCCCCAUGUGUGUGAGAGGCGUCCUCUGGGAGAGCAUGGAUCCUGAGGUCCCAGGAACAUCCCGAGAGCCAAGUUCCCAGAUGCCAGCCAAGGGCCAUCUGACCUGUUUUGAAUCUCAAUUUCCUGAUACAGAAAACAAAGGAUUGUCAGCUGACCUCUGUCCUGUGUGCCCAGUGGCCCCAGGUGACGUGUCUUCAAGAAGAGGCUGAGCUGCGGUGCUUGUAAGGGUCUCAUUCUGUCACCCAGGCUGGAGUGCAGUGGUGCAAUGAUGGCUCACUGCAGCCUCGACCUGGGCUCAAGUGAUCCUCCACCUCAGCUUCCUGAGUAGCUGGGACCACAGAGUCAUGUGCUGUUCCUGGGGCUUGGAUGAUGUAGGGGAAGCAAGGUGAAAGUGGUAUCCCGUGGUUCCACGUUCUGUCCUGCUGUGGGGCUGUCCCUCACAUGCUUUCAGUGGCUGUUGCAGAGGAAGAGCCUCCGGAAAUCUGCGUGGGUAAAGUCUCAGCCUUAGAUCCAAGGACAGUCCAAGGAAGUCCUAAGACCAUGGAGUUGGUGAUCUGGGAUCUGGGUUUGCUGAUAUUUCUCACCGUGAAUCUCUUGGUGGUGUUUGUGGGCACGAGAGGGGCAGAGAAUGGAGAGUGAGGCUACCACAUGAAGCGUCACCAGAGCUGCUCCCUGCUGCCUGCUCAGAGCACCCCGGAUCCACUGUUCAAUCUGCACAAGAUUCGGGGUCCAGACAUGGGAGACUUCAGCUGCCUCAGAGGACCGUGGACAGGGAAGGCCAGCCUCGCAUCCCUCUGUCCAUGCCUGGAAUGACUUUAAUAACCAAGAGUUUUAUUUUUGAAUUUGUAGCUGUCGUUCACUUUUUACCCACCCAUUCAAUAAACCUUACAGAAUUGCUCCA